UACGUAGGUGGCAAGCGUUGUCCGGAAUUAUUGGGCGUAAAGCGCGCGCAGGCGGUCCUUUAAGUCUGAUGUGAAAGCCCACGGCUCAACCGUGGAGGGUCAUUGGAAACUGGGGGACUUGAGUACAGAAGAGAAGAGUGGAAUUCCACGUGUAGCGGUGAAAUGCGUAGAGAUGUGGAGGAACACCAGUGGCGAAGGCGGUUCUCUGGCCUUACCUGACGCUGAGGAGCGAAAGCAUGGGGAGCAAACAGG
rnacentral:rRNA from 1 species